rnacentral:rRNA from 1 species
GAUGAACGCUGGCGGCGUGCUUAACACAUGCAAGUCGAACGGAAAGGCCCAAGCUUGCUUGGGUACUCGAGUGGCGAACGGGUGAGUAACACGUGGGUGAUCUGCCCUGCACUUCGGGAUAAGCCUGGGAAACUGGGUCUAAUACCGGAUAGGACGAUGGUUUGGAUGCCAUUGUGGAAAGUUUUUUCGGUGUGGGAUGAGCUCGCGGCCUAUCAGCUUGUUGGGGGGGUAAUGGCCUACCAAGGCGUCGACGGGUAGCCGGCCGGAGAGGGUGUAAGGCGACAGUGGGACGGAGAUACGGCGCAGAGUCCUACGGGGGGCAGCAGUGGGGAAUAUUGCACAAUGGGGGCAGGCCUGAUGCAGCGACGCGGCGUGGGGGAUGACGGCCUUCGGGUUGUAAACUCCUUUCGCGAGGGACGAAGCGUUUUUGUGACGGUACCUGGAGAAGAAGCACCGGCUAACUACGUG